rnacentral:rRNA from 1 species
UAGGGAAUAUUGCGCAAUGGACGAAAGUCUGACGCAGCCACGCCGCGUGAGUGAGGAAGGCCUUCGGGUUGUAAAGCUCUGUCGCCUGGGAAAAACGGCUAUCCGGGGAAAGUUCGGGUAGCGUGAUGGUACCAGGAAAGGAAGCACCGGCAAACUCUGUGCCAGCAGCCGCGGUAAUACAGAGGGUGCAAGCGUUGUUCGGAAUUACUGGGCGUAAAGCGUGCGUAGUCGGUAUUGAGAGUCGCGGGUGAAAUCCCAGGGCUUAACCCUGGAACUGCCUGCGAGACCUCAGUACUAGAGUGUGAGAGGGGAUAGUGGAAUACCCAGUGUAGCGGUGAAAUGCGUAGAGAUUGGGUGGAACACCGGUGGCGAAGGCGGCUAUCUGGCUCACAACUGACGAUCAGGCACGAAAGCUGGGGAGCAAACAGGAUUAGAUACCCUUGUAGUCCCUGAGCGGGCUGGCAAGGCGCAU